UACGUAGGGGGCAAGCGUUGUCCGGAUUUAUUGGGCGUAAAGAGCGUGUAGGCGGCCAGGUAGGUCCGCUGUGAAAACUCGAGGCUCAACCUCGAGAUGUCGGCGGAAACCAUCUGGCUAGAGUCCGGAAGAGGAGAGUGGAAUUCCUGGUGUAGCGGUGAAAUGCGCAGAUAUCGGGAAGAACACCCGUGGCGAAGGCGGUUCUCUGGGACGGUACUGACGCUGAGACGCGAAAGCGUGGGGAGCGAACAGG
rnacentral:rRNA from 1 species